rnacentral:rRNA from 1 species
CGGGGUGCAGCAGGCGCGAAAACUUUACAAUGCCGGCAACGGCGAUAAGGGAACCUCGAGUGCCAGGUUACAAAUCUGGCCGUCGUGAUGCCUAAAAAGCAUUGCAUAGCAAGGGCCGGGCAAGACCGGUGCCAGCCGCCGCGGUAACACCGGCGGCUCGAGUGGUAACCGUUAUUAUUGGGUCUAAAGGGUUUGUAGCCGGCCGGGUAAGUCUCUUGGGAAAUCUGGCAGCUUAACUGUCAGGCUUUCCGGAGAUACUGCCUGGCUCGAGGCCGGGAGAGGUGAGAGGUACUUCAGGGGUAGGGGUGAAAUCUUGUAAUCCUUGAAGGACCACCAGUGGCGAAGGCGUCUCACCAGAACGGACCUGACGGCAAGGGACGAAAGCUAGGGGCACGAACCGGAUUAGAUACCCGGGUAGUCCUAGCCGUAAACGAUACUCGCUAGGUGUCGGCCACGGUGCGACCGUGGUCGGUGCCGUAGGGAAGCCGUGAAGCGAGCCACCUGGGAAGUACGGCCGCAAGGCUGAAACUUAAAGGAAUUGGCGGGGGAGCACA